AUGCCGUCCUCCUUGGCAAUGAGGACGGCCGGCAUGGGUGGGGACUGGCGACUAGGACAACAACUGGAAGGGAGAGGAGGCGUGUGGCGCACACGAGCGACAGAUACGAGAAGCCCCAUGACAUUUGGUCCCACAGCUCGGGAGCAAUUUCCCCUCUCCUUCGCUGUUCUACUCCACUCCACUCCACUCCACAGAGAGCACGCGCCGCUAAAAACCCUCGUCCCGGCCGCGGCGCUUCCGGCGACGGCCAUGGACACCGGGGUGCCUGCCUUUCCCAUGAGCCCGGUGAUGACGGAGAUGUUCCGGCAGCUAUUCUUUGACCCGGAUCAGGUGGAGGGCUUCCUCGCCCACUUGCUCUCCUACACCCACUGCGCCCUCCCAGAGCCGCCCGUGAUGGCCGGCGCUCGCCUCUUCGCCCUCCUCCCCGAAGACUCCGUCGACCACUUCAGCCGCCUCCCCGGCGCGCUCCUCAGCAACGCCGUCUCCUGCCUCCCCGUCAAGGACGCCAAACGUGGCCUUGUGGACAGCGUCGGCUUGUACCGUGACGGAUCGAUCAUCGAUCUGACGUCGGCCAUCACCAUUCGAGGGGUUUGUGUGCCGAUGAGGAGGAGAGUGGCAUCGAUGACGAGUACAAAACUUCCACGGUACAAACAAAACGUUGGCCCGAGUCCGCGGGCCGUGGCAGCCGCCCCCAUGCAAGCAACGGUGCAUGUCUACGCGCGCCUCACGGAUGUGCCAAACGGGCCGCCCCCUGGUCCCUGUUCUGUGCAUUCUAGACCUGAAGCUGCCAGAAGGCCUAGCGCGCGAUUUAAUACAGCUAGCCUUGCUUUCCUGCACCAGCCCAACCCGCUGUACAAGAUCACCGUGGUCGCAGAGGCUUUUCCUCUCCGCGCCCGUUGCUUCUUCUUCCUUGAGCAUACACUUCCUGGGCAAAAAAGCAGCCGAGCAAUGGCCACCGUCCCCAUGUCCCAAGUUCGUGUCCGCAGCCGAGCAACUGACCGCCUCCUAGCAUCCGUCGGCAGCGGCGGCUUUGAGGACUCCACCUCCCAAGUUUUAGGCCUAGACUAUUUGGUAGAAGCUGUUCUUGUUAGGGUAGACAGUGUCAAAAGCAUCCUUCGUUCUGGUGUGGUGUCUAAGGCCUGGGCAAGCGCCGCUCUAAGGGAGGAGAUGCUUCUCAAGUUCAUGGAGGAAAGAUCGCCUCCUCUUCUCGGCAUCGUCGUCGAGUACGGCGUGUGGGGGCACGACAUGAGGUAUGUCGAGUUUACCCCCAUGCCGGGCAUGGGCUCGGCCCUCCGUGCGCAUGCCUGGGAGGUGGAGGCUGCAUUCGCCGACGACUUCAGCCUCGACACCGUGCUCUUCUCAGGCUACGGCGAGGUUGUCGUGAGGGAGAAGGUGGCGCCGAGAGGGUACGCCAAGCGCUCACUCCUUGAUCCUAUUACCACAACUCGCCACCUUCUGCCUUCCGACGACUUCUUCCAAGAAGCACCCGCGGCUGUUUGUGCGUGCUUCGUCGUCAUCGACGGCGUCAAGGCCUUCUUCCACGGCUACCCGCAGGUACAUGAUGGUCCGUACAUCCAUCACGCUGUCAAAGGGGGCGGGAUAGUAAACUUGCCUGAAUCAUUUAGCACGGCCGUGAACAUGGAUUACAUGAUUGCAAGGUGUGGGAAGUCCGAGCUUUGCUUGGUUCGUCUUGUUGGUGACAGCAUGCAUCGAUGGUCCUGUGACAUGGCUAGCCAAGAGAAGAACUGGAUCUUGCGCAGUACAUGCAACCUGCGGCGGUUGUUCGAUGGCCAUAUUCCGGCAUCAUUCUGGGAGACAAGGUGCUGUGGGGGUGAAUCUUCUGCUGGCAAGACUGCUUCUAACAGCAUGAAGAUUAGAGCUCUUGGAGAGAACUUUGCAUACGCAAUAAUGACGUUUGAUUUUUGCCCAUGGAUAUACAUGCUUGAUACAGACAAAUGUCACGUUGUUAAAGUCAUCAACUCGUUCAACCCAGAGUCUGUGGUGUCGGUGACCACGGUCUACAUGCCAUGGCCAAAAACAUUCCCACUUUCUGUUGUCUAUUCCAUCAUGCAUAUACCCGAAAAAGAGGGGGAGGUUCGAACCUUCAUGCAAAGGUUCUCCAUGGCCCGCCUGCGCGCAGCAUGGGCCGAAGGCCGGUGGUCCAAGCCUGCAGCACUGCGCACUUGGCAGCCUAGUUCUGCCAUGUUGCAGCCCGCCUGGUCCACUUCCUCUAUAAGAGAAGGCUCCAUUGCAGAUCUCGAUCAGGUCAUGAGCAACCAACAAGGCUUCCUCAUCUUUCAGAUUCUUGACUCCACCAUAAUCAUAUCUGAAGAUACUGACAGCCCACUUCCAAGCCCAGGCAGCCCGGCUAACUGGCCCAAUCGCCCAGCGCCCAGGCCAUCCCUGCCUGCUUCCUGUCCGCACGGUGGACGAACGAAACCAGCCGCCCCUUCUUCCCCCGACUUGACAAACCCUAGGCGACCAGGACCAGCCGUCCCUGCCCCCCCGGUCCGUUGCCCGCCCCUUCGAUCCCUUCUGCGGUCAUGCGGGCGUCAGGUUGCGCCACUGCCGCGCUGCGCGCUGCUGCUCCGUCCGGCGAGGCGUGGAGGCGGCGACUCCGGCGAGGCUUGGCGUCCGCGAGGUGCUCGAUCCCUUCUUCCUGGCGUCCGGCGAGGCGCGGUGGCGGCGACUCCGGCGAGGCUUGGCCUCCGCGAGGUGCUCGAUCCCUUCUUCCUGGCGUCCGGCGAGGUGCUGGUUUGCCAGGAGCUGAGCCGCAAUACUGAGCAGAGCAGAGAGGUAUUGCUUAAUGCCUUGAUGCCUUGA
rnacentral:rRNA from 1 species